rnacentral:rRNA from 1 species
AUUGAACGCUGGCGGCAGGCCUAACACAUGCAAGUCGAGCGGAUGAAGGGAGCUUGCUCCUGGAUUCAGCGGCGGACGGGUGAGUAAUGCCUAGGAAUCUGCCUGGUUGUGGGGGAUAACGUCCGGAAACGGGCGCUAAUACCGCAUACGUCCUGAGGGAGAAAGUGGGGGAUCUUCGGACCUCACGCUAUCAGAUGAGCCUAGGUCGGAUUACCUAGUUGGUGGGGUAAAGGCCUACCAAGGCGACGAUCCGUAACUGGUCUGAGAGGAUGAUCAGUCACGCUGGAACUGAGACACGGUCCAGACUCCUACGGGAGGCAGCAGUGGGGAAUAUUGGGCAAUGGGCGAAAGCCUGAUCCAGCCAUGCCGCGUGUGUGAAGAAGGUCUUCGGAUUGUAAAGCACUUUAAGUUGGGAGGAAGGGCAGUAAGUUAAUACCUUGCUGUUUUGACGUUACCAACAGAAUAAGCACCGGCUAACUUCGUG